ensembl:lncRNA
UAUGAACUGUGAAUUAAAGUGGAAAUGCGUUCCUCGAGUAAUUCCCUGUCAAAGUGCCGGGUUGAAUAGUAAUGACCUCCACUGCUCUGGAUACACACUAAUUACUUGAGUGUACUCUGGCUGUAGGAACAUGAGCAUUCGAAGCAGGAGAAGAGAGCGCAAACAGGAGCUCAGACGACUGGAGCUAGAGAUGGUGAACAAACCCACUGAAGAUCUGCAUCUGCCAGAUCAGAAGAUUUAGUUCCCCAUUGCUGUUAAAAUAAUCCGCUCUUCUGGGAAGACUUUCCACUAUAUUUGUGCUGUGGCUGUGUUGAUUUG